rnacentral:rRNA from 1 species
UACAGAGGGUGCGAGCGUUGUUCGGAAUUAUUGGGCGUAAAGCGCUGGUAGGUGGCUUGUUAAGUCGCGUGUGAAAGCUCCAGGCUCAACCUGGAAAGUGCGCGCGAAACUGGUGAGCUUGAGUGCCGGAGAGGGUCGCGGAAUUCCCGGUGUAGAGGUGAAAUUCGUAGAUAUCGGGAGGAACACCAGAGGCGAAGGCGGCGACCUGGAAGGUAACUGACACUGAGCAGCGAAAGCGUGGGGAGCAAACAGG